CCACAUUCAUAACUGAUGUGCCCUAAGUGUAUCUCAACUGCAAGAGACAGGAUUGAACCAAGACCCCUUCAAGAUCUAAAGCUGUGUUCUCUGACAUCAGAUUCAAUGCAAUCAUCUCCCCAGAGUGCAAGCAUCUCUUGGCAGUUUACCUGAGUCAGGUUAUGAGGACCUGUCAGCAGCUAAGUGUCUCUGACAAGCAGUUGACUGACAUAUUAUUGAUGGAGAAGAAACAAGAAGCAUAAAAGGACUGCAGGAGGUGCUGUGGGUUGGAGCCGUGGGCUGUGGAGGGUUUGUGUAUGAUGAGAAGCCCUGUACAGUCUUCUCAAGAAAAACCCUGAGCCAGUCUCUGAGACGCUUCGGUAAAAAAUGUCCCUGGAUGGAAUCAAGAUUUUAAAUUCAAAUAAAGCCUAAUAUCAUGUUGUGUCCACAUUAUUUAGUCUUUUUUUUCUUUUGAGAUGGAGUCUCACUUUGUCGCCCAGGCUGAGGUGCAGUGGCGUGAUCUCAGCUCACUGCAAGCUCCGCCUCCCAGGUUCACGCCAUUCUCCUGCCUCAGCCUCCCAAGUAGCUGGGACUACAGGGCAAUUGAAGGAACAGACUAAAAAUCGUGUCCUGGAAGGAAACUACAGGUACUACCAGGGAUUUUCAGUCUGAAGAAGAAAAGACAAAAUAGAUGACAGAAGGAGUAUUAGAAGGGAGAGCGAUGAGACUCAGUUGGACACCAAGAGAGAGCAAAGAAGCAAUAAUAUGUGAAGAUGAAAAUGAAAUCAAUUUCAGCAUAAGAAGACAAGAACUUAUGGUAAAGCUGCCCACAGCCAGAAGAGGAUCCUAGAAGGACAGGAAUUCCCUGUCUGCAGCAUUUCAUAAGCAUGUAAUAUUGUUGCAGGGAUACUGCAGAAGGAGUUGAAGUAGUGGACAGACAGAUGAUAUAGGUGAUUUUACAGCCUAAGAAAGCCCUGUGCUUGUGCCCCCAAAACAUGAGGUGCUAGUGAAUGAAUGCUGGGGGAAAGCCCACGGCCUAGGUGUUGCAAUGUUCUGUGGUUGGCAGAUGCUUUUUGUUUUGUUAAAGUGCAACAAAUAAAAUUUAUCAAGACUUUUCUGCUA
rnacentral:sRNA from 1 species